rnacentral:rRNA from 1 species
GAAUAGGCCCAAGCGACUGUUUACCAAAAACAUAGGUUUCUGCUAAGUCGCAAGACGAUGUAUAGGAGCUGACGCCUGCCCGGUGCUGGCAGGUUAAGGGGAUCUGUUAGAGCAAUCGAAGCAGUGAACUUAAGCCCCAGUAAACGGCGGCCGUAACUAUAACGGUCCUAAGGUAGCGAAAUUCCUUGUCGGGUAAGUUCCGACCCGC